GACGAACGCUGGCGGCGUGCUUAACACAUGCAAGUCGAACGGAAAGGCCCUGCUUUUGUGGGGUGCUCGAGUGGCGAACGGGUGAGUAACACGUGAGUAACCUGCCCUUGACUUUGUGAUAACUUCAGGAAACUGGGGCUAAUACCGGAUAUGAGCUCCUGCUGCAUGGUGGUGGUUGGUAAGUUUCGGCGGUUGGGGAUGGACUCGCGGCUGAUCAGCUUGUUGGUGGGGUAGUGGCUUACCAAGGCUUUGACGGGUAGCCGGCCUGAGAGGGUGACAGGCAACAUUGGGACUGAGAUACGGACCAGACGCCUACGGGAGGCAGCAGUGGGGAAUAUUGCACAAUGGGCGGAAGCCUGAUGCAGCAACGCCGCGUGCGGGAUGACGGCAUUCGGGUUGUAAACCGCUUUCGCCUGUGACGAAGCGUGAGUGACGGUAAUGGGUAAAGAAGCACCGGCUAACUACGUG
rnacentral:rRNA from 1 species